rnacentral:rRNA from 1 species
CAGUAGCCGCGGUAAUACGGAGGGUGCAAGCGUUAAUCGGAAUUACUGGGCGUAAAGCGCACGCAGGCGGUCUGUCAAGUCAGAUGUGAAAUCCCCGGGCUUAACCUGGGAACUGCAUUUGAAACUGGCAGGCUAGAGUCUUGUAGAGGGGGGUAGAAUUCCAGGUGUAGCGGUGAAAUGCGUAGAGAUCUGGAGGAAUACCGGUGGCGAAGGCGGCCCCCUGGACAAAGACUGACGCUCAGGUGCGAAAGCGUGGGGAGCAAACAGGAUUAGAUACCCGAGUAGUCCCUGUCUCUUAUAC